GGUACCUGGAAACCUCGGGCCCGGGAGCCAAUUCUUGACGGGGACGCGGGCCCGGGCGGCCGCGGGAAGCCAAGGAUACAACAUUACAUUUAGUCUUCAUGUCUCCAUAGGCUCCUCUUGGCUGUGACAAUUUCUCAUACUCUCCUCAUUUUUGAUGACCUCGACAAUGUUGAGGAGUACUGCCCCGUUCUAAAGCCUCAGCGUCUUCUGCCUCAGUCGGCAGAAAGGGAAAGAGGCAGUGGAGGAGCCACUUCAGAUUCAUAAAAAC